GACGAACGCUGGCGGCGUGCUUAACACAUGCAAGUCGAGCGAUGAAAGCCUUAUGAACUAUUCGUAGUGAUUGGGGCCGGAUUAGCGGCGGACGGGUGAGUAACGCGUGAGCAACCUGCCUUAAACAACGGGAUAGCCUCGGGAAACCGGGAUUAAUACCGGAUGAGACCCCGCCUUCACAUGAAGAAGAGGUUAAAGAUUAAUCGGUUUAAGAUGGGCUCGCGUCUGAUUAGCUAGUUGGUGAGAUAAAAGCCCACCAAGCCAAGGAUCAGGGGCCAGGUUGAAAGAAUGAGUGGGAACAUUGGAACUGAGACACGGAUGAAAAUCCUACGGGGGGGAGCAGAUGGGAAUAUUGCACAAUGGGGGAAAACCUGAGGCAGCGACGCCGCGUGAGCGAUGAAGGAAUUCUUUUCGUAAAGCUCUGUCCAAGGGGAAGAUAAUAACAGUACCCUUGGAGGAAGCCCCGGCUAAAUACGUGCCAGCCGCCGCCGUAACAC
rnacentral:rRNA from 1 species